UGAUGAGAGCAGUGGAAUGAAACUAUUAUACUUAAGUCAGUAGGAAGUUGAGAAGAAGACAAUGCUUUUCAUGACAACUGCUCGCAUCCGAUCAUACAUUGUCAAAACUCGUGGAUGUGUACAAUAUUAUAAGUUCGUUAGAGUUGCAGGAUUAAAGCAGCACGCAACAAAAUUUCCUUUGAAUGAAGUGAAUAGCCCCAAAAAAUCGGGAGUUUCUGUUGCUGCUGCUACCCAUCCUCAUUCAGUGAAUCUAAGAGAUAAAAGCUUGGCUCCAUGGGAAAUAUACAAGUCAUCAGUAUCAAGGAAAUCUCAUCUGGAGAUUCACAAUCCAACAAUUUUUACAGUAGGAACUUCUGAUGAAGAAAAGCUUCUGUCAGGUGACUGCAGUAAAGAUUAUGAGGUUGAACACAGUGAAAUAUCUUCAUAUGAAAAAUCUGUUGAAACGAUUGAGGCUCCUGUACUUUUUGUGCCUUAUGCCAAAAAAAUAAUCGACUUAAAAAAUGAGAUAUACAAGCAAAAGAGCUUGUACUACUAUUUACACUUAAAACAUGAUGAAACACUGAUUAGUGUUUCAAACAAAAAUUCUCAUGAAGAAUUUAAUGGUAAUUCACAACAAAAAUAUGGAGUUAUAGAUGGUUUAUUACCAAAAAAUGGUGAAGAGAUUGAACUACCAAAAACUGAAAAAGGAGGAGGAAAUGACAUUCAUUUGGUCAAUGCUGUGAGUCCUACCCAACUUCAGUGGCAUGAACAAGUUCUUCAAGUUUGUCUCCUACCAAGACAUUACAUGAUGUUAAGCAAAAUACGCUUAACUGCUCUGGUUGUAAUGACAACUAUGGUUGGAUAUGCCAUGGCCCCUGCUCCUUUUGACCCUACAACCUUUAUCUUUGCAACUUUUGGAACAGGGCUGACAUCAUGUGCUGCAAAUGCCAUCAAUCAGUUUCUAGAAGUACCCUAUGAUUCUCAAAUGGUUCGAACGAAGAAUCGUGUCUUGGUGAAGGGGAUUCUCACCCCCCUACAUGCUGUAACUUUUGCUGUAGUAAGUGCCACAACAGGAUUGUCUGUUCUGUUCUUUGGGGUCAAUAGCCUUACAGCAGGACUUGGUGCAGUCACUUUAGUGCUAUACACCACAAUAUAUACACCAAUGAAACGGUGCAGUAUUGCAAACACAUGGGUUGGAUCAGUGGUUGGUGCUAUACCUCCCAUGAUGGGUUGGGCUGCAUGUUCUGGUGUUUUAGAUCCAGGAGCUUGGCUGCUGGCUGCUAUACUGUACUCGUGGCAGUUUCCUCACUUCAAUGCACUCUCUUGGAACCUACGACCUGAUUAUUCCCGUGCUGGGUAUCGUAUGAUGUCAGUGACCGACCCUGGACUCUGCCAACGAACUGCUUUGAGAUACAGCAUAGGUAUUGUUUUUCUAUGCAGCACAGCACCUGUACUUGAUCUAACUACAUGGACUUUUGUGGUGGAUUCUCUACCUCUGAAUAUCUAUGUAGUGUAUUGUGCUUGGAAGUUUUAUACAGAAUCAGACAGUGCCUCAUCACGAAAACUCUUCCGUCUCAGCCUUAUUCACUUACCUUUGUUAAUGAUGUUGAUGCUUAUUAGCAAGAAACAUUCAUCAGAUAAAACUCUUCAAAAAGAAGAAAGUUCAAUUACAAAGAGAUAAUAAAAUGCAAUAAAAUAGUAAAAUCAGAAUUAUUCUAAAUUUAUGCUAGUUCAUAGAAAAAAAUAGGAGUUAACGUGACGAACAAGUAUCUGAUGGCUUUAAAUACAGUUUGUAUAGAGAAAAUUAGUGAUUUUUGUUUUUAAUGAAACUUUAAAUGUGAAAUGAAAAAAAAGUCUCUAAGUCAUUUUCAAUUAUGGACCGUGAAUGCUCAGUUCUAUGGUGAAGAUUUCUUGAUAUUUAUGGCAUGCCACAAACUUGUGAUAGUUAUAGUACCUAUUCUAGUCAAUAUUUUGUGACAGAAAUGAUUCAAAAAAAGGUAUGUUUUGUUCUAAUCCAGGAAUAGUAAGGUUAGUAAAAAUGUUAUACUGUAUAGUUUCUUAGUAGAAAUUGUCUAAGAAUAUUCAAUUUCUACCCGGAAAAAACAUGGCCAUUUUUCUAUUGUAUUUUGCCUCAAAGCUAUUACCUCAUUACAAAGACAUUGUAUGCAAAUACAUUUAUGCAAUAUUAUGAAACAAAACACUGAAAAACAUUAUUCUUUGACUACUCUUUCAACUAUCUAUUGAUGCUAAUCAGAUAGUGUGAGGAGUGGUUAUAAUAGGUACUAAUGAUCAUGAUAGAUAACUAAGGACAACAGUGUGAACAACUGAUUGGUGAAAACAAUAAGUUACUAAGAACAACAAAAUGAUGAAGAUGAUAGAUAAUUAAGAACAGUGGUGAACAUUAUAAGUAACUAAGAACAAUAGUGGUGAACAUGAUAAAUAACUUAUAACAACAGUAGCAAACAUGGUAGACAACUGAGAACAACAGAGUAGUGAACAUGACAGAUAACUAAGAACAAUGUGAUGAACAUGAUAAAUAAGAACAACAGUAGCGAAUAUGAUAGUCAACUAAGAACAACAGAUGGAAAGCAUGAUAAGUAACUAAGAACAACAGAAGCAAACACGUGGUAGAUAACUGAGAACAACAGAGUGGUGAACGUGAUAAAUAACUAAGAACAACAGAGUAGUGAGCAUGAUAGGUAACUAAGAACAACAGUAGCAAACACAUGGUAGAUAACUGAGAACAACAGAGUGGUGAGCAUGAUAGGUAACUAAGAACAACAGUAGCAAACACAUGAUAGAUAAUUGAGAACAACAGAGUGGUGAACAUGAUAGAUAACUAAGAACAACAGAGUGGUGAACAUGAUAGAUAACUAAGAACAACAGUAGCAAACAUGGUAGACAACUGAGAACAACAGAGUGGUGAGCAUGAUAGGUAACUAAGAACAACAGUAGCAAACACAUGAUAGAUAACUGAGAACAACAGUGGUGAACAUGAUAGAUAACUAAGAACAACAGUAGCAAACACAUGGUAGAUAACUGAGAACAACAGAGUGGUGAACAUGAUAGAUAACUAAGAACAACAGAGUGGUGAACAUGAUAAAUAACUAAGAACAACAGUAGCAAACACAUGGUAGAAUAACUAAGAACAACAGAGUGGUGAAUAUGAUAGAUAACUAAGAACAUCAGUAGCAAACAUAAGAGGUAACUAAGGAGAACAGAGUGGUUUUUAUUUCUAAAAGGAUAAAUAUAGAGUAGUAACUGAAAGGAUGCUUAUAUAGUUUAGUUUUGUAGGUUUUAAAGUUUAUGACUAAAUUAUACAGAGGUGGUACUGGUUUUGCUUAUGGACAAAACAAAAAAUUCUUACUGUCAUCACUAGUUGGUUAUCAUGUGUCCAGCUUGUGGACUUGUGGUUUUUUAACACAAAGUGCCUGCAAUCAGUAUUGAUGUAUAGACUUAAUACUGUUUAUAAAUAUGUUAAUAAGCCAAACUAAUGUAACCUUGUAUGUAGUUUGCUGAGCAAAGAGCCAUGGUAAAAAAAAAUUAAAAUUAUUGGAAUACAUUCAACCAGAGAACUUACAAUGACAGUAUCAUAUUGCAACAUUUUCCACUGACUGAACUAUUUUUGCAUCGCUAAAAAUAGUGUUUGGUCUUUAUUGUGUUCACUGUGUUGAAAUAUUUCUGCUUUCAUGUAUUCUUUGUCAUAGUUUGUAGUAUUUUUGAGACUAUGACUCAAGUAAUAUAUAGUAUUGUUUUACCUCAACAUUAACUCGUAGAGGUAUUCACGAAAAAAGGGGGAAUUGUUUACUCUCUGUGUAUCAAAGUAACAUAUAACCAGAAAUUCAGACAAUGGAUCAGAAACAUUGUGAAAUCUCUUUUAGUUUGUUUAUAAGUCAGUUACUUGUAUGAGUUUUUUUUUUUUAUGUUUACUCGGUACAUUAGUUAUUCUCGUAAUUUCAUAUUCCAGUCAAAUAAGUGGCUCCUGUAGUAAUCACUGCUUUCAUAUGCUAUACACAGAUGAAAAAGUUACAGUGGUUCUUUAUGGUAUUUAGAGCUUUACUGUUAAGAGAAGCUGAUGUGUGGAGUAAUUUCAAGACAGUUUUGUUGGGAGUGUUGUUAUUCUUAAAUUUCUAGAUUGUAACCAGUAUCAGCAAUAUGCCAACCUGGUGUAAGAGAGGUAAAUAUAUGCUUUCUGAGAAGCUAGUUAAAAAAACUUGACCAUGGGUGUAAGUCAGCUCUGUGCUUAGAAAGGCUAGUUCAUGUUUGCUGAAAACUUAGUUCAAAAACGUGGGUGUAAAUUAGCUCAGUGCUUUGAAAGGUUAGUUCAUGUUUGCAUAGUGAGUAUAAUGUUUAAGGUUCUAUGGAAAAUAUUUUAUAAGAGCUCGUCAACUUUGCGUAUUAAUGGUUAUUUUUUCCAUAAAGUAUUAGUUUGUAUAGAAUGCAUGUUGUAAGUAGGUUAAUUUAAUUAGUGAAUGAUGCAGCUUCUAAUGCUUGUGGUGAAAUGAAAUACCUGUAAUAAUAAUAUAACUGAUGUGCUGCUUUAGAGUCUGUCAUGACAAGAGUGUAAUAAUCCUACAAACUGCAUACAGGAAUUAAUUAAGAAAAUGGUGUACAUUAUUCAAGACAUUAUUAAAUGGAGAAUUGUACCUUUUCAGUCCAUUAAGCUGGAAUUCAUGUGCAUAUGAUGUACAGAUAAGUUUAUUAAGGUACUACUUUACUUGUAGAGUUUGAAUUUAAUAAUCUUUUGUUGUUGGGUUUUGAUUCUUAAAGAAUUGAUAAACUUUACUUCUGACACCACUUUCUUAGGAAGUGUUAUACUCUUACUUCAUUUCCCCAUCGUACGUAUACUAACUUUAUGUUGUACCUAUAUACCUGUCAGGAUUUGACUCGCACCAAUGUAAAAAUAACAAAUUAUUAUUUAAUUCUGGUAAACAAUAACACAAAGAUUUAGAAAUGGAUUUUAAUUUCCAAGUAAUUGACUCUUUUUUUGGAAAAUGUAACUUAAUGAUAAAGCACAACACGAACGUGAUAAUUGGAAGCAUUUAAUAAAUGUUUUGGAAUCAUCACAAUUUCAUCACCAGUAAUCUAGAGGUACAAAACAAACAAACAGUAUUUGUAAUUACAACAGAAAUAUGAUAUACAUAAGAAGAAAACUAAUUGAAUAUAAAAAUUAUAACAUGAGAAAAUGAAAAUCAAGUGAAGAAUGUAAAUUAUUUAGGGACAAGAGAAGAGUUUUUAUGUAUAAUGCUUCUUUUAUAAGAAGGAUUUUAGUAUGUUACUGACAGCAUUUUACUUUCUUCCUGUACCUCUGUCAGUUUCUGGUUUUGGCUCUCACAUCUGACCUGGCCUUCACCUCUUUUGACUUUAUCUUUUUUUUUAUAUUCCAAACACAUACCAAACCACUCCUUUUGUGUAGGACAUUGCAUCUAUCUUCUUAUUGUUCUAUGACCAGUUACUAAGAUAUAUUUCUGGUUAGUGAUUGUAUCAUUUCAUAAACAUAGGAGGACUUUUAAUCCCCAGACUGAUCAAACCUAGAAAGGCCAACACCAAACCUGCCCAUUCCAAUUACUUUUUAAGGAUUUUAAAAAUAUUUUCAGCUCCUUAUUCAUUAGAGACUGACCAAAGGCUGGCCAUUUUUUAUAAUCAUUUGAACAAUAUCACCCCACAUCUCCAGGGUUCUCACUAGGGUCCCACAGUGAAGAGUACCGAACUCUCAACUUUUUUUUUCAAGAGUCCCAUAAGUAGGAUUUAAUAAACUCAAAAAAAAAAAAAAGGAAAAAAAAGCACUUUAUUUUCAAUGAAAAACUAUUUACAAUGUACACUACAUGUUUACCUUCUACAAGUGUAAAAAGAGCAUGUUCGAAUAGUUGACUAUUCUUCUUCAGGAGAACAAAGAAGAAUAGUCAACUUUUCGAAAGCGCUCGAGUUUUGGGUCUUAUUUUGAGUUUAUUACACUUUAUAUGUGAUCCUUUGUGCUAACUUUUUUUUAUCAAGAAAAGAGCAUGUUAAUGUUCAGUGAAAAAAUGUAUUUACAAUUUACACUACAUGUUGUUUCCCUUUAUAAGUGCAAAUGAAUUUUCAUGAUAAGAUUUUAAAAACUUCUUUAUCUAAAAAUUUUCAAAUAUUAUUUGC